rnacentral:rRNA from 1 species
CCUACGGGAGGCAGCAGUGGGGAAUUUUGCGCAAUGGGGGCAACCCUGACGCAGCAACGCCGCGUGAGUGAUGAAGGCCUUCGGGUCGUAAAGCUCUGUCAGAGGGGAAGAAAUGCAGGUGGUGAACAACCAUUCUGUUUGACGGUACCCUCAAAGGAAGCACCGGCUAACUCCGUGCCAGCAGCCGCGGUAAUACGGAGGGUGCAAGCGUUGCUCGGAAUCACUGGGUGUAAAGCGCGAGUAGGCGGUUAAUUAAGUCAGAGGUAAAAGCCCACGGCUCAACCGUGGAAGUGCAUCUGAAACUGGUUAGCUAGAGUGUGAGAGAGGGAUGCGGAAUUCCCGGUGUAGCGGUAAAAUGCGUAGAUAUCGGGAGGAACACCAGUGGCGAGGGCGGCACCCGGGCUCAUAACUGACGCUGAGUCGCGAAAGCGGGGG